rnacentral:rRNA from 1 species
AAUAAAAAUAUCUUUGGUUGGGGCAACCACGAAGAAAAAAAAACCUUUGUCAAAAAAAAGAAUCAACAAAUUUAAAAUUUUAAAAAGAUCCAGAAAACUGAUCAAAGAAAAAAGUUACCGUAGGGAUAACAGCGUUAUUCUCUUUAAGAGUUCAUAUUGACAAGAGAGUUUGCGACCUCGAUGUUGGACCGGGGCACCCAAGAGGUGCAACAGCCUCUAAAGGUAGGUCUGUUCGACCUUUAAAGCCCUACGCGAUCUGAGUUCAGACCGACGUAAGUCAGGUCAGUUUCUAUCUA